AAACUAUGAUGUGGGUAUUGUCUGAGCAUGUUAUUGUAUCUAUCUCAUGCUUCAAAUAAAGAUUCUGAGUCUGAUUAUCUAAAACUUGUGAUAAGAUUUCUCAUAU